rnacentral:rRNA from 1 species
AAUGGGGGAAACCCUGAUCCAGCCAUGCCGCGUGAGUGAUGAAGGCCUUAGGGUCGUAAGGCUCUUUCGCCUGGGAUGAUAAUGACAGUACCAGGUAAAGAAACCCCGGCUAACUCCGUGCCAGCAGCCGCGGUAAUACGGAGGGGGUUAGCGUUGUUCGGAAUUACUGGGCGUAAAGCGCACGUAGGCGGACUGUUAAGUUAGAGGUGAAAUCCCGGGGCUCAACCCCGGAACUGCCUUUAAUACUGGCAGUCUAGAGUUCGAGAGAGGUGAGUGGAAUUCCGAGUGUAGAGGUGAAAUUCGUAGAUAUUCGGAGGAACACCAGUGGCGAAGGCGGCUCACUGGCUCGACACUGACGCUGAGGUGCGAAAGUGUGGGGAGCAAACAGGAUU